UACCUUUUAAUUGAUGCAUUGACUAUGUUGUGUCUUCUUUUCUUUGGUAGAACUGGAAGUAUCUUUCGAAAGUCCUCUGCUAGAACCACUGUCAUUCCAGCGAACGAUUUGUCCCUGCUGUUAUCAUUUUUAUGCCUUAAUAUAUCCCUUAGAGUUAUGUCUAGUGCCUCGAAACAUAUCAUGUUUGCCAUUGGAGCCUCAUCCCAUAGUAUUGGGGAUGUCGUUUGUAACAGUUCUACCAAGUGUGUGCCUUGUCUGAUGUCACAUGUUGAUUCUUCCGUAAGGAUCAGUGGGAUGUGGAACCUUGAGUGAGCUGUUCUACCUCCCUGUAGAAGAAGUGCUGCAAUACCACAUGAUGCCACCGCUAGUACCAUCUUGCCUUUAGAACGCAAUUAAGUUGUGAUUGCCUUCCAUAGAUAGGUCUUACUUGUAUCACCAUAUCCAUCAACAAAUACCUGUUUUCUCAAAUAUUUGUCAAUUGAUUCCAUUAUCGAAUAAAAUGCAUUUAGCUGUUCAGAGUUAAGAUUACCAAAGAUCCCCAAGUGCUCUUCUUUCUGCUCCUCUUUGUUGUAGCUCAAUCUUCAUUAAGCAGCAUGUUUUCAAGUUCCUUUAUCUCUAAAGAAUUUGCAAGUUCUAAUCCUGAUCAGUAAGUGUCUUUUGAGCUUGUCUCAUUAGCUUCUCUAUUUCCACCAAGGCGUGUCCUUGCUUCUGUGAAGCUGUCGGGCAAAGUGUAGUAGUUUAGGAGUUUUCUCCGUACCUCUCCCUCAAAUUUGGAUAUAUGCUUUCUACAAUUACCUUUUUUGGAUCAUUAACUUUUUUAGUAAUAUUUCACUUGGUAUUUUUAUCAAUUUUCCACCUUCUGCUGAUGUAGUUUUUCCAUUGCCAACAUUGGGGAUCCACUCUGCAAAUUCUGCUACCUUUUGUUUCUCUGUCAUGCCAUUGAGUCGCAUGUCCUUUGUUAGCUUCAGCAUAUGGAAGUGUUUCCAAAGAUACGACCUUUUAAUUAAUGCAAUGACUAUGUUGUGUCUUCUUCCCUUUGUUAGAAGUGGAAGUAUCUGGCGAAAGUCCUCUCCUAGAACCACUGGCAUUCCAUCGAAUGGUUUCUCGCAGAUGUUAUCAUUUUUAUGCCUUAAUAUAUCCCUUAGAGUUCUGUAGAAUGCCUCAAAACAUAUCUUGUUGCCAUUGGAGCCUCAUCCCAUAGUAUUAGGGAUGUCUUUUGUAAGAGAUCUGCCAAGUGUGUGUAUUGUCUGAUGUCACAUGUUGAUUCUUCCAUAAGGAUUAGUGGGAUUUGGAACCUUGAGUGAGGUUUUCUACCUCCCUGUAGAAGAAGCGCUGCAAUAGCACAUGAUGCCACCGCUAGUACUAUCUUGCCUACAGAAUGCAAUUUUGUUGUAAUUGCCUUCCAUUGAUAGGUCUAACCUGUUCCACCAUAUCCAUCAACAAAUACCUGUUUUCCCAAAUAUUUGUCAACUGAUUUCAUUAUUGAAUAAAAUGCAUUUAACUGUUCAGAGUUAUGAUUACCGAAGAUCCUCAAGUGCUCUUCUUUCUGUUCCUCUUGGUUGUAGCUCAUCUCUUCAUUAAGUAGCCUGUUUCCAAGUUCUAUUAUCUCUGAAGAAUUUGUAAGUUCUAUUCCUGGGUAUUCAUUAAGUGUCUUUCCAGCUUGUUUCAUGAGCUUCUGUAUUUCCACCAAGGCGUGUCCUUGCUUCUGUGAAGCUGUCAGGCAAAGUGUAGGAUAUAACUUCCCAGCAUAAUAAUCUGCCGCUCAUGUACCUACAUAAGUAUUUCUACCAACAAACCGUGAAACGGAGCUGGAGCAUACCCUAUUAGCUAUAUCAAGGCUGUAGCAACUUGAUACCAAUUAAGAUUUGCGAUUACAGGAAGGACAAAAGAUAAGUAUUGGAAUUGAACCUGCCAAUAUGAGGAACUGCUUCACUGCGAGGCAGUAUUGUAUCCCUGAGAGAUCCAAAGUCCAUACUCCAGAGUGCUCACGUCACCAAUAAAACCAUGGUAUGUUAUCCUCAUGCUUGUACCUUGGUUGUAGAGUACAAACCUACAAAAUAAGAGAAUAAUACUUCUGAAUAUAUAUCGCUAGAGACGUCUCUAGAGCCAACAGGAAAAUAGAAAUCAUACUGAACUACAGAAGGCAAACAAAUCCCUAUCAAAAUAGUUCCUAGCUACUGAUAUACUACUUUUUACCUCCAUAUGCAGAAUGAAUCAACUGUUUGCUACUUUGGUAGAGACUAAGAAUGAAUCAACUGUUUGCUACUUUGGAAGAGACGAAAACUGUGUCAUAGAACUUACAGAGACAUAAAUUUAAACUGUGGUCAAGGUUAUCGGUGCUAGGGCCCCAGGAAUCUCUUUGAAAGAGGGAUACCAUUGCAGAAUACAUGGGGCAAGUUCGCUCGGCCGCUGGAGUCAUGGAGAUCGCAGAUGUUGUUGGGGCCAUCGGGUGCCUACUUAUACCGUGAGGCAGCUCCUGAUCUUCGCCUACGCUGGCCUGCCACAACCACACUUGCUGCCUAGAACUUAGGGUUGUGUAGACGCACGUACAAGUUUAACUCAGCUUCAAGUCCAUACACUUAUACUCCAUGUCAUCACAGUUGGCCGGCCGUCUCAGAGCACCAAGGCGAACUCAAGGAUAACAACAACCGCGUGCGCUUGGACCUGCACCUGCACCUCCAAGAAAGACGGUAUGCUUCUUUUCUUCCCUGAGAACCCAAAGAUCAGGUUCAGAGAUCUCAUCUAGAUCUGUAUGGCAUCGAGGACUGAGACUGGGAAGCAUGCGUCAUUGAUGAUGUUGAAGUUCGGUUCCUGAGACCAUGGCAUGAAUCUGGCACGUCUCCACGGAGCAUAUCGUAUCUAGCUCUUGGAGGACUAUAUGUCUAGUAGUGUUCUGUUGACUCCCUUACCUCAAUGAGGCAAAUCGAGAUUGAAAUAUUAGCCACUCGUGUGGUGCACUUGGAGGAGGUUGGCCCGGCCGGCCGGCGGAGCACGCGAUGGCACAUACGGCGGCGUGCGUGAGGGCUUGCGGGGAGUUCGUGUCUUUUAGGUUUUGAUUUUGCUUCGUAACUUAUGUUAGCUACACAUUACAUCAAAGGGGUAUGAUGAAAAUUUAAUGUAGGGCAUUGGUGGGUAAUUUUAUUGAAUUCUAAUCAAACGGUAAUGAUUGCCUGAUUAGCUUAAU